CCAACCCACAGCACUGCAUGAAGAGGACAGCAGAAAACACUCAGUAUAUGGUCUCACCAAGCUUCAGUCUGUCUUGUCAUUUCCUCUGAGAUACUGUCCAUUCCUCUUGACUCUCCAGCCCCAGCAAAGGAGAACAGGACCAGUGUUGGCCAGACACUGUAUCAGCUGAUCUAAUGGCUGUCUGGAGCUAAUGAAAUGGAUUUGCAAAGCUCGAUGCCAGAUGAUGGAGGACACUGUGGUCCAAAAUGCCUAGCUAUCUAUUCUAAUGAACUUGUGUGCAUCGUGUACAAGAAUAUGGGAACACUAAAAACGAAGACAUUCAAAUCCAAAAAGGGCAUUAGCAGUAGUGUUCAUUGCAGGUGCCCUAACACUCUGGAAAAUAUCGAGACACAUGGAGGGAAGUUGAAUCACCAUUCCCAUUCCACUGACAAAUGCCUUCGUUGACAGAAUGACAUUGAUUGGAUGCCACUACUGCGAAAGCUAAGCCUUAUUUGAACAACUUCAGGAAAUGUAUUGCCAAUUCUACUACCAUGUAAAAUUUCAAACGAAUACUGAAAAGAUAGAGAUUCUCAUAUUGAUUAUACACAGCAUAAUCAGCUAAUAUAACCAUAAACUGCAUUGAUAUUGUUAUUGGGCCACAGUGAUUUAUAGAUCACCAAGGGCUAACAAAUAUACAUUUUUUUCUUAUUAAAGCCCUUUUCUGGGGGCCCAGAGUUGCACAAGUUCAAUGCUUCAGAAGAUAGAGAACAAACCCAGCAUUAGUUGUACCUUCAUAAACUAUAUUGUAUCUAACUCUUCAAUAAAUUGUAUCUACUUUA